rnacentral:lncRNA from 1 species
CUGUCGCCGCCGCCUCCUCCUGCAAGCCCACCGCGCGGCCCGCCUUCUUCACCUCCACGAAGGCGCUGCGCUUCGCCUCGCCGGUCUCCGGGCUGGGCGGCGCGAAGAGCCGGCCGUUCUCCUCCAGGCCGAAGUAGCUGCCGGCGGCGCGGUACUGCUGCGGCGUGCACACCAACUCCUCCUUGGAGGUCGCCAGCGGCCUCUCGGAGAAGCGCGCACGGCCGCCCGCCAGCCCCGCGCCGCCGCCCUCCGCCGCCGUCUCCUCCGGGAACCGCCUCUUGCCUUUGCAGCCGCCGGUGGCGACGCCGUCGGGACUCAGCUCCGCCUCCUGGUGGCCGCUGCCGCCACUGCCGACGCCCGGGGCCGCUACGCAACUGCUGCUUCCCCGGGAGUUUUCCAGUUCCCGAGCCAGGUUGUGGAAGUCCGUGGACGGCUUGGCGCUGCCGGCACCCGCGGAGCCCGGCGGGUUGCUCGCCUCCGGGGAUGACGCGGGGUAGUGGUGUAUGGGGCCGGCUUUGCAGAACUUGGGGCCCGGGAUCAACGGCGCCUCCUGUUGAUGCUGCUGCUGCUGCUGUUGCUGUUGCUCUUUACCACCGCCGCCGCCGCCGUGGUCCUUAGUGCCCAAGCCGCCCCCUUGCUCGUCUUGGGGAUUCGCAUCAGUGCUGUGAAGUCUCUUGGGGCAGCGGAAUCGCAGAUGUGCCACAUAGGGGAACUCAAACUGGAAACGUUGGCUGCAUUCCAGGCAUGUGUAAGGAGACGACCCUGCUUAGUGAGCAAACACACACACACACACACACACACACACACACACACACACACACACCCCACAUGGUUAGUUAGCAUCGCCCCUAGGCCACUUAGCCAUCCUCCCCAUAACAAAUCCACUUUAUCUUUCUGGGCUGAGUGCCCCCCAAAAAAAUGAAUACAUUAUCCUAUUUGGUGCAACUUACUUUCUUGAUUUGUGCAUUUACUAAGUCAAACGCUCCCCAACUUUUCCUUCCCCUUCUGUCCUAGUUCCAUUCGGGACAACACCUCAGAAGCUUCGUCCACCCUAUGAUGUGCAAGGUGAGCCCAGGCACCAGAGCCAACCUACCGUUCAUCUUUUGAGCUCUAGACGGGCAGAGCAAGAGCAAUUCAGUCAGUUCUUUCCCGUACCAAACUAGUAACUCUUCAUCUUUGGCAAUCCUGCGGAGAGAGCGGUAGAACAGCUGUCCGUUUUUUAUAUAAGCUUCGAGAUUCUGUUCUUCCUUAUCUCGGGCUGAUUGAACCAGCCGCAGCCACAUGAGACCUUCUGAGGAACCAUUUGCCGCCGAAGUGUCUACCUACAGUAUUUAAGAAAGACAAGAAGGGAGGGAUCCACGUGAAAGACGGCAACCAGAGAAACCAGAGAUAUUUCAUCUGUUUGCCUUUUGUUCUUUCCAAACAAUUAUCUGAAACCAAGUUUGCAAAAGUUGACCAAAGUCGGACUGCAUCCCUGCAUUUGUGGUCAAUGGGCACAAUGACCAUCCUUUGCAAUAUUGAGUCAGUCUUACAGAGUAGCCUCUUUAGAAUCUCCCUUUCAGUUACCUCACAUGAUAAAAGCAGAGGAAAUUUCCCGUGUUUCAGAAGUAAAAGGCAAGUUCGGGUCUUAGUAAUUAUUCUAUGGCACUCACGCCCAUCUUCCUAACUGACAUGAAGGACUAACAGCUUUACCUCAUGAUGAAAGACUAGGAACUCUGGGGUGGGGAAACUGGGAGUAACAUUUAGCAAGUAAAUAAAU